rnacentral:rRNA from 1 species
CUACGGGUGGCAGCAGUGGGGAAUAUUGGGCAAUGGGCGCAAGCCUGACCCAGCAACGCCGCGUGAGGGAAGAAGGUUUUCGGAUUGUAAACCUCUGUCCUUGGGGACGAAGAAGUGACGGUACCCAAGGAGGAAGCUCCGGCUAACUACGUGCCAGCAGCCGCGGUAAUACGUAGGGAGCAAGCGUUGUCCAGAAUUACUGGGCGUAAAGGGUGCGUAGGCGGCAUAUUAGGUCAGGUGUGAAAUACUCGGGCUCAACCCGGGGGCUGCAUUUGAAACUGAUAUGCUUGAGUGUGAGAGAGGAAAGUGGAAUUCCUAGUGUAGCGGUGGAAUGCGUAGAUACUAGGAGGAACACCAGUGGCGAAGGCGACUUUCUGGCUCAUAACUGACGCUGAGGCACGAAAGCGUGGGGAGCAAACAGGAUUAGAUACCCUUGUAGUC